UCCUGUGGGAAUGGUAACCCAAGAGGGAUGAGUCCACUAUUUCCCUCCCAUGCCUCUCCUACUCCCGGAUUAUGCAUUCUACAGGUAGUUCUGUGGUUUGACUUGACAGAACUAGGCCCCAUUGCCAGCUUCUGCCAACUGAUGCUGUGGCUAA